rnacentral:tRNA from 1 species
AUUAAGAUGUCUGAUUUAAGUAGUAAAUUGUAAAUUUACUUAAGGAUUAACAUCCUCUUAAUA